rnacentral:tRNA from 1 species
GGGUGGGUGGCUCAGUGGUUAGAGCCUAGGGCUCGCAACCGAAAGGUUCCGAGUUCAAACCUCGCAAGAGGCA